rnacentral:rRNA from 1 species
UACGAAGGGGGCUAGCGUUGCUCGGAAUUACUGGGCGUAAAGCGCACGUAGGCGGCUUGUUAAGUCGGAGGUGAAAUCCUGGAGCUCAACUCCAGAACUGCCUUCGAUACUGGCGAGCUCGAGUCCGGGAGAGGUGAGUGGAACUGCGAGUGUAGAGGUGAAAUUCGUAGAUAUUCGCAAGAACACCAGUGGCGAAGGCGGCUCACUGGCCCGAUACUGACGCUGAGGCACGAAAGCGUGGGGAGCAAACAGG